rnacentral:rRNA from 1 species
CGAGGGGCAACAUGAAGUAGCAAUACUUUGAUGGCGACCGGCGCACGGGUGAGUAACGCGUGAGUAACCUGCCUUACACAAGGGGAUAGCCUUUGGAAACGAAGAAUAAUACCCUAUAAAACCAUAAAAGCACAUGCUAGAAUGGUCAAAGUGAUAGCGGUGUAAGAUGGACUUGCGUCUGAUUAGCUAGUUGGUGAGAUAAAAGCUCACCAAGGCAACGAUCAGUAGCCGGCUUGAGAGAGUGUACGGCCACAUUGGGACUGAGACACGGCCCAGACUCCUACGGGAGGCAGCAGUGGGGAAUUUUGCACAAUGGGGGAAACCCUGAUGCAGCGACGCCGCGUGAUUUAGAAGGCCUUCGGGUUGUAAAAAUCUUUUGUAUAGGAAGAAAAUGACAGUACUAUACGAAUAAGGUCCGGCUAAUUACGUGCCAGCAGCCGCGGUAAUACGUAAGGACCGAGCGUUGUCCGGAAUCAUUGGGCGUAAAGGGUACGUAGGCGGCUAGAAAAGUUAGAAGUCAAAGGCUAUAGCUCAACUAUAGUNANCNUCUAGCGACCUCNACUAUUUAGCUUGAGAAAUGGAAGGGAAAGUGGAAUUCCUAGUGUAGCGGUGGAAUGCGCAGAUAUUAGGAAGAAUACCGGUGGCGAAGGCGACUUUCUGGCCAUUAUCUGACGCUGAGGUACGAAAGCGUGGGUAGCAAACAGGAUUAGAUACCCUGGUAGUCCACGCCGUAAACGAUGAGUGUUAGGUGUCUGGAGUCAAAUCUGGGUGCCGCAGCAAACGCAUUAAACACUCCGCCUGGGGAGUACGCACGCAAGUGUGAAACUCAAAGGAAUUGACGGGGACCCGCACAAGCAGCGGAGCAUGUGGUUUAAUUCGAUGCAAGUGGAGGUCGCUAGAUGGU